rnacentral:rRNA from 1 species
ACGCUCGACACCUACGGGAGCAGCAGUGAGGAAUAUUGGUCAAUGGGCGCUAGCCUGAACCAGCCAAGUAGCGUGAAGGAUGAAGGCUCUAUGGGUCGUAAACUUCUUUUAUAUAAGAAUAAAGUGCAGUAUGUAUACUGUUUUGUAUGUAUUAUAUGAAUAAGGAUCGGCUAACUCCGUGCCGGCAGCCGCGGUAAUCUGAGCGGGCUGGCAAGGC